UGAGGAAUAUUGCGCAAUGGGCGAAAGCCUGACGGAGCAAUACCGCGUGAGGGAUGACGGCCUAUGGGUUGUAAACCUCUUUUUUCAGGGAGGAAUAAAUGACGUGUACCUGAAGAAUAAGCAUCGGCUAACUCCGUGCCAGCAGCCGCGGUAAUACGGAGGGGGCUAGCGUUGUUCGGAAUUACUGGGCGUAAAGCGCACGUAGGCGGAUCGGUCAGUUGGGGGUGAAAUCCCGAGGCUUAACCUCGGAACUGCCCUCAAUACUGCCAGUCUUGAGUCCGGGAGAGGUGAGUGGAAUUCCUAGUGUAGAGGUGAAAUUCGUAGAUAUUAGGAAGAACACCAGUGGCGAAGGCGGCUCACUGGCCCGGUACUGACGCUGAGGUGCGAAAGCGUGGGGAGCGAACCGGAUUAGAUACCCGGGUAGUCCACGCCGUAAACGAUGAGUACUAGCUGUUCGUGGUAUCGACGCCUCGAGUAGCGAAGCUAACGCGUUAAGUUCUCCGCCUGGGGAGUACGCCGGCAACGGUA
rnacentral:rRNA from 1 species